rnacentral:rRNA from 1 species
AUUGAACGCUGGCGGCAGGCCUAAAACAUGCAAGUCGAGCGGAGCGGCGGACGGGUGAGUAAUGCCUAGGAAUCUGCCUGGUAGUGGGGGAUAACGUCCGGAAACGGGAGCUAAUACCGCAUACUAUCAGAUGAGCCUAGGUCGGAUUAGCUAGUUGGGGGGGUGAAGGCCUACCAAGGCGACGAUCCGUAACUGGUCUGAGAGGAUGAGCAGGCACACUGGAACUGUGACACGUUCCAGACUCCGACGGGAGGCAGCAGUGGGGAAUAUUGUACAAUGGACGAAAGCCUGAUCCAGCCAUGCCGCGUGUGUGAAGAAGGUCUUCGGAUUGUAAAGCACUUUAAGUUGGGAGGCGUUACCAACAGAAUAAGCACCGGCUAACUUCGUGCCAGCAGCCGCGGUAAUUC